UACAGAGGUCUCAAGCGUUGUUCGGAUUCAUUGGGCGUAAAGGGUGCGUAGGCGGUGAGGUAGUUGGAUGUGAAAUCCCGGAGCUUAACUCCGGAACUGCAUUCAAUACUGCCUUGCUAGAGUGCUGGAGAGGAGAUUGGAAUUCACGGUGUAGCAGUGAAAUGCGUAGAUAUCGUGAGGAAGACCAGUGGCGAAGGCGAAUCUCUGGACAGUGACUGACGCUGAGGCACGAAGGCUAGGGGAGCAAACGGG
rnacentral:rRNA from 1 species